UACAUUAAGUAUAUAUUUUUAAGAUUACCUUUCAAAAUACCUAAAUAUACCAAACAUCUGACUCUGGUCACUUUAAAUCGAUCGAGAGAGCAACGCGUCAGCUUAACAGAAACCUUUAAAAAAAAAUUUAAGAAUGCCAAAACACAGAUUCGUGGGAUUCGUGGCUCAAAAGAUAAGAGUUCAAGGCUUGGGCUUGUAGAGACGACACCGACGAAGGGCGAGUUUUGUGCAGUUACUGCAAAUGCACAAUUACCGCGAAACUUUCCGAUUUGCGCGCCCUUGCCUUGAAAAAAAAAACACAAAAGUGCUUCAGGCGAAUUUUAACAAUCCAACAAAAUAGAUUUUGUGGCUUUGCCAGUCAAAACGAUGGAACAGGAAGCGGGGAAUUUUUACUUAUGAUUUUACCAAGCAGCAAAUAUAGACGAAUUAAUUGAUAUUUUAAUAAAUGACAAACAAAAUAAAAUUUACUGUUAACUAAACCCAAAAAAUAUAUGUUUUGAAAAAACUGACUUUUUUAUGGCUUUUUUCAAAUUUUGGGUUUGUUUUAUGGUUUUUCACGUCAAAAACAGCUUUUUUUUCAAGAAAAAGUUGGCAACACUGCAGAGGGUAUUAUAAUUUUGGUCGAAAGUGUGCAACGCAGUGAAAGAGAUAUCUCCGACCGUAAAAGGAAUAUAUUCUUGAUCUGGAUGACCUCCUGAGUCUCCUGAGACUAUAUAAUAUAGCUGUCAUAAAUGGAUCGGAAUUGGCAUAAUUUUGGUGUUUUUUAAGUUAGAAUGAUGGGACUUUCUACGGAUUUCAUUUUGGGCAAUCUAAUUCGUUUUGCUUCCGAGUGGUGCCGAUGGCUAUUUUGGAGAAAAAAAAUCGAUUGCUAAAAAUUGUGAAUCGAUAUUUAUUAUGCGCUACUUUUACACAGUAACAUAUCGGGAAAAAACAAUAGUGGAAAACUUAAAUUUUUCGGCACUUUGGGAGUAAUUCGACCGAGGAUGGCCCUGCAAGUUUUUCAGCGCUCGCGCAUAUGAUGUGGCAGCCCCACUUCUGAGAUAGGUUGCACUCGGCUAAUCACCGGAUCGACCGAAAAAAUAGCGAUUACAGAAACAAACACAAGAUCAGAAAACAAUCACCCCCCAACUCGACGACGUCCCUCCGCUUUUCGCAACGGACACGAAUUGGACAAUGGAAUGUGAGGACCCAAAUGGAGUCUUACAGAAAAAAACGAGACAGCAUAGCUAGGAUGGCCUUGGAGUGGAACCCGCAAGGCAGCAGAAGAGUGGGACGCCCCAAGCUAACCUGGCGCCGAUCAACAUUACGCGAACUCUCUGACAAUAACAUCACCUGGGA